rnacentral:lncRNA from 1 species
GUGCGGUUGCAUUUGCGGAGGUGCAGCGCCUCUAAUGUCCGCCUAUGGAGCUCCCUGGUUCCAGGCAUACCCCUAACAAGGGUUAUAUACAGCUUAUCACUCCAUUCAAUUGGCACACAUGCUUUAAAAGCCUGGUAAGCACUCAUUUCUUCCUGCUUGAGCAAGCUGUCCAGUAUCCAGAUUAAUCAGAGUAACUAAAUGGGGCUAUAACUUGGCAGGUCACUAACAUAAAUUGUCUCAUUAAAGCUAGCACUCAACAAUAAUCAUUUCUUCCUGGUUGAGCAAAGCUGUACAGUAUCCAGAUUAAUCAGUAACUAAGUGCGGCCAUAUCUUGGUAGGUCACUAACAUAAAUUAUCUCAAUAAAAGCUAGCACUCAACAAUAAUCUGCUAGCCAAACAGGAAAAGCAAGAAAGAAUUUGUUCCCUAAGAGGUUAAACAAAACAG